rnacentral:lncRNA from 1 species
AUGGUCUCCAGCAGACAAGCGCCUGGAAUGAGGCCCAGUGAAAGAUCUGAAGCAGAAAUGGUGUCAUUAGGAGAAGAAGUCAAAGGAGUUUGCAAAGAAAAGCGUCUGGACUUCUUUAAGUUGCUUGAAGACGUUUCACCUCUCAGAACUGAAGAAGCUUCUCGGAUGAGAGGUGAAACGUCUUCAAGCAACUUAAAGAAGUCCAGACGCUUUUCUUUGCAAACUCCUUUGACUACGAUGACCUGGAUGACUGAGAACCUUCACAGACAUUAGGAGAAGAAGAGAAGAAGAAGUACGGCGAGGAGGCAGCAGCUCUUAAAGAUGAAACACAGCAACUUAGCCCUGAGCUCAGAGAGCUUCACAUGAAAAAGCUCCUCAAGCAGAUCAUGUCAGAGGUUUGUCAUCAACAGGAGGAACUGUUCAUAUCAUAGAAUGAAGGAUGCUGUCAGCUGGAUGAAGAAGGUUAUUUAAUGGCAAACGUUCACAUUGAAGUCAAAUUGUUGUGGUGUUGAACAGAUUCAUGUACUGAUUGUCUCCAGAAUGUUAGAAGAGCUUCAAUGAAUCAUUAGAAACAACUUACAGCUGCACAGUUGUGUCAAACACAUCUUUGUGUCAUUGUGGGAUUUUUGUGUUUCUACAUGUGACACACGUCUAAAACAUGCACACAAUUUGAACACAAACAGGGACUCAUUUGUUCCCACAGCCAGAUGCUGAGAGCCAUUUCCUUGUAGUCCUGUGUCUAUAUAUAUGUACCAUUAGAUGUUAUUGGAAUGAUUGUCAGCUUUGAUAGUUUCAUGUAUGUUUAGCUGGACGGCUGUUUGAUCCUCCACAUGUUUAAAGGUGUCCAGUCCUGAGACACUGGGGGUGGAAACAGCUGUGAUGUCAUUGGACUGUCACAAAGACAGAAGUGCAUGAAGUGAGCAGCCAAGGAGCCGCUGAUGUUUUGGAUUCAACAGCAUUUGAAAGGUUGACACAGACACAUUUGCACAUAGAAAGCUGAAUUUGUCAUAAAUUUGACUUUGACAUAAAGACAUCAAACUCAAGCUGACUAUAAAUUCUACUUUUACAGUUUUUUCUGAAUGCUUAGACCCUAACUGUGAUUCUUAUAGCACAAUUUCUAAAACUAUUAAUACUUAUAGCAAAACCACUCACUGAGUUUGCAAAACUAAAAGCACAAACUCUGCUUUGCACUCAGUUUGCCAUUUUGUAACACACACUUUGCAAACCUGUAGCUACAAUCCACUGCACAGCACUCUUUUUGCAGAACUGUAAACACAACUCACGGC